GGGAUCGACCCAAAAACCAUCUGAUUAGUAGAUGACCUGCUCCACCUCCUGAGCCACAGCCACCCCUUUCAGAGGUAAAGAAUGAUUUAGAAAGAGCUGGCGUCAUGUUGUGGAAGCUGCCAUCUUGCCCCACCAUCAUACACUGGCUGAGAUGGGCAUCGCUGCGCCGCCUUUUCAUGUUUUAUGCAUUACGCUGACGGAGGGAUGGAUGGACCAUGAAUGCUUUCUCAUCCUUCUUGUCAUGCACCAUGGAAGUGUCUGAGGGGCUUUUCCACUUGGAAUGGGGAUACUGUGUCCACACUUCAGAGGUGGAGUUUCCAGCAUCUCACCUGGGCCUCAUCUGCAAACAAUCAGCAGGAGGGCUUCUUAAACCAGCGCUGCCUGCUACUCCUCGCCAGUUUGUUCUGCCAUCUCCAGUGGUAACUAGGCUUCCCCUCUGCUCCAGUUCUGGCGUGCUCCUUCCCUGUGUUUAACCUUGUUUUCCCUGUGUUUAGGUCUCCUCUGCCAACGUACUCAUCCUACCCUCAAACUCCCUUACCCGUCCAGCAACUUCUUCUCCCUCUGUUGCAGAAUUCCCGUUGGAUUGUUCCCAUCAGGAGCCAGGUGUUCAGUCUCUCGAUAGCUUUUCCUCUGGUUCCUGCUGUCUGCUGACACUCCUAGCUCGAGCCACGUUCUCCAUUCCCUCUCUAAAGUCUCAUAAAUAGUUUAACCAUGUGCAUUGAAUCUGCAUUUGGGUCUAAGCUUUCUAUGCAGGGAAGAAAUCAUCACAGUGACAUCUAUUUAAUUUUCAAUUCAAUUUUAUUUAAAGAGCGCCAAAUGACAGCAACAGUCAC